rnacentral:misc_RNA from 1 species
GAUGAAGAACGUAGCGAAAUGCGAUAAGUAGUGUGAAUUGCAGAAUUCAGCGAAUCAUCGAAUCUUUGAACGCACAUUGCGCCCCUUGGUAUUCCAUGGGGCAUGCCUGUUCGAGCGUCAUUUGUACCUUCAAGCUUUGCUUGGUGUUGGGUGUUUGUCCUGAGGGACUCGCCUUAAAGUAAUUGGCAGCCAGUGUUUGGUUUUGAAGCGCAGCACAAGUCGCGAUUCAAGGCUAUACACCAGCUUCCACAAGCCUUUUUCACUUUUGACCUCGGAUCAGGUAGGGAUACCCGCUGAACUUAAGCAUAUCAAUAAGCGGAGGA